UGUGAGCUGCGACUUCGGCCUCACUGUGGCUGCUCCCUGACCGACGCUGAACGGCGGUGCGGCUCCCCGGCGCUCGCUGAGGUUUCCUGCCUGUAUCCCCUUUCCCUCCAGUCACGUCAUUUUAGGAAGGGAAACUGCCCCCCAUUCUCUGCCUCCCUGCUUCCUUUGUGGUCCUCGGAAAAAAGAAAUUCCACAAAGAAACCAGUCCGUGCUGCUGAGAUAAGGACAGAGUUUUCCCUGGAGGAGGCCACACUGGAGGGACCACGGAGGCACUGGGGGCGGCGCACACCCUGCUUCAGUGUCCGGGUAACGGCCGCAGGGCGAGCUUGGGUUUUCCAAAUCUGCCGAGCACUUUCUCUCUGGGGUCCUUUGAGCCCCGCAGGCAUGACCUUGCUGACCCUCUCUGGCCCCAGGCUGUGGGUGUUCCAGGCCGUCAGAGCUGCCGGGGGACCCUGGAGACAGAGCAGCUUUCCCAGCUGUGUCAUCAUAGAGACAAGGAAGCCGAGGCCACUGUCCGCAGCUGGGGGCACAGUCAGCAAAGGGCAGCUAUUAUUCAGCUUGUUCAGUACCCACCUUGUCCCAUCUUUUCUGGAGCCAACGACACCUUUCUCUUUAAGGGAGGAUCCUCUGAGCCCCGCACUGGCCUCAACCGGAGAAAGUGCUCUGCUACCCUCUCCAAGGACAAUUGGUUCUUGGGAGGGUCUGCCCCACACGAGGCCAGCCAUGAACCUUCCUUGGGAAUUUCUGAAUUAGAACCAACAGCCAAGGCUCAUGCAUGCCUGGGGUGACCAAGGCCCGUUAAAGACCCGGAGCCAGAGGACUGGCUGAUUUACAACAGUAACAAAACUGCAUCUGCACCAGCAGCUGCAACUGGAGUGACUCCCAGUUAAGUUUAUGACAAUUCUCAGUCCUGCUCCAAGAGCUGUGUCCCUUCUGUGCAGGCCGAGUAGGUGAGCUGUGUGGGGAUGUGGUGGGACUCCCACCCCUGCCUCCUCAAGUCUGUGAUGAGGGCCCUCAUCUCUGCAAUCCUCCAGGGAUAUGGUAUUGUGUUUAGUUCGCUAUUUUCAGAGGAAGACGCAGUUCCAGGGCCCUCUGCUUGGCCUUUCUGACCAUAACACCCUCGCUCUGUGGCCCAGAGAGCUAAUGUGAGGAUUCUGCCCGUUGCUGAAUAUGUCAAUUCAAGUAAUGAAUCCGGGAACUGGGGAAAUAGCCACAGGGUGGACCCAGUGGGCCCCGCUAUGCAUCAAACCUGAGCCGAAACUCUGCUGACCCCCAAGGCCCCACCCCGACUGUGGACCAGUGACAUCUGGGAUUUCCAGGAGUUAGGGUCCGUUGAGAGCCAGUGUCCAGUAAUGCUUGGAGAGUCUGAUCAGUUCCCUUCCACAGUGGAGACAGCAGCCACAGCAUCUUCAGGGAAGGCUGGGAGGAAGAUGAAGCCUCUGUGGUUUCACCAGGUGGCAGCGUGGUGAAUGCUUCCUCCAGGGCUCUGGGUCUGUGACCCGGCUGAAGUCUGAGAAUUGAGAUGCUGUGACUUUCUAUUGUGGUGACACGAGUCGGACUUUCACCUGUCAGGCUACAGCGUGGAGCACGAGUCAGACUUCCGCCCCGUCGGGCCCGCGGUGGGGAGCGCGAGUCGGACUUCCGCCCCGUCGGGCCCCCCGCCCGUCGGGCCCGCGGCGCUGAAGUCGGACUUCCGCCCGUCGGGCCCGCGGCUGGGGGCGCGAGUCGGACUUCCCCGUCAGGCCCGGCGGGAGCGCUAGUCGGACUUCCGCCCGUCAGGCCCGCGACCUGGGGCACGAGUCGGACUUCCGCUCCUCAGGCCUAGGGCGUGGGGCACGAGUCGGACUUCCGCUCGUCAGGCCUAUGGCGUGGACCUG
rnacentral:lncRNA from 1 species